GUGCUUGCUUCGGCAGCACAUAUACUAAAAUUGGAACAAUACAGAGAUUAGCAUGGCCCCUUUACAAAGAUGACACACAAAUUUGUGAAGUGUUCCAUAUUAAA
ensembl:snRNA U6 U6 spliceosomal RNA